AAAAGGUACAGUUUUAUAUUUUUUAUGUCUAAUGUUUGACCGUUCGUCUUGUUUGAAAGAAAAAUAUGAUUAGUAGUUUUGUUGUUAUUAGAUGAUAAAACAUAAAUACUAAUUUAUGUGUGACUAAUUUUUUUGAAAGGAUUUCAUAAAGUUUUCAAAUAAGACGGACAGUCAAACAUUGGACACAAAAAUCUAUAACUACACUUAAA
rfam:Oryza nivara chromosome 1, whole genome shotgun sequence.